UAGCGGCGAGCGAACGGGGAAGAGCCCAGAGUCUGAAUCAGCAGGUGUGUUAGUGGAACGGUCCGGAAUGGCCGGCGAUACAGGGUGAAAGCCCCGUACACGAAAGCGCACCCGUUGUGAGCUCGAUGAGUAGGGCGGGACACGUGGUAUCCUGUCUGAAUAUGGGGGGACCAUCCUCCAAGGCUAAAUACUCCUGACUGACCGAUAGUGAACCAGUACCGUGAGGGAAAGGCGAAAAGAACCCCGGCGAGGGGAGUGAAAAAGAACCUGAAACCGUGUACGUACAAGCAGUGGGAGCCCCACCACCAAAGCGUUUCGCUUUGCGUGGUGCGCAAAAUGCGUAACGACAGCGCGACUGACGGUUAACGGAGCGUAAGCGACGUUCAACUUAAAAAAUCAGGCAGUGGAGCGUUUUGGGGUGGGGUGACUGCGUACCUUUUGUAUAAUGGGUCAGCGACUUAUAUUCUGUAGCAAGGUUAACCGUAUAGGGGAGCCGCAGGGAAACCGAGUCUUAACCGGGCGUCCAGUUGCAGGGUAUAGACCCGAAACCCGGUGAUCUAGCCAUGGGCAGGUUGAAGGUUGGGUAACACUAACUGGAGGACCGAACCGACUAAUGUUGAAAAAUUAGCGGAUGACCUGUGGCUGGGGGUGAAAGGCCAAUCAAACCGGGAGAUAGCUGGUUCUCCCCGA
rnacentral:rRNA from 1 species